rnacentral:rRNA from 1 species
UUUCGCCCUCAAUCAGGUAGGACUACCCGCUGAACUUAAGCAUAUCAAUAAGCGGAGGA